UAAUUUCCUCCUCUUGUCCUCUGUCCCCUCUCCUUUGCUGUGGAUCCGUUUCUCAGCAGUUCCACAACUCACAUGAGUAACAAGUCUUAAGAGGGCAGAGUCGGUGGGCUGUUCAACUGUGGAGGCAUCAUUGAGGUGAUGAGCCGUUUCUGAUUGGUUAGUCUUUGGUGACCAUCACAAGUUGGCCCUCUGAGGCAGGGAGUGGCAGCCUUCAGUGGAGACCUGAUACCAUCCAGUGCUGGGACUUUUACAUUCUCUCAUGGGAUUCGGGCCGUUCCAACACUUAUUGCCAAGUUACCAAGAUCAAUUAAAGAAUUUGGAUGCAGAUGAUUGAACGUGGUUGUCUUUGGAUGCCUGGGGAUCUGGAGAAAGGAUGGGUGGAUCGAGUUGAGAUACAGAAGAGCCAAAAGCUGGAUGAAUGGUGCACUGAUGCUGAAGGUCUGAGUGCCCCUGGUUACUGUUUAACUGCAACAGGACGUCUGAAGCUUGCAGCUCCCGGGGCCAGAGACAACUCCAUUGAGAUUAUUCAACCAGGAAACGCCCACAAUGUCAAGAGAAAGAUGCUCACUCUGGGAGAGGUCGCUGAAGUGAACAAAGACAUCAGUUAAUUAGUUAAGAUAGCAGCAGACUCCCAUCUCUUCACUCUCUUAAAAUUGACUUCAAAGGCGGCUGACAGUGCAAGACCUAGUCACAGACAGGCUCUUUCUGUAAACAGCUGUAAUGACCUCUGGAAGCUCUGAGUCAACUUUACCUCCAGAAUCCUUAGGCUGGUGUAACUCAGAACUUCAGAAACAGCCAGUAGACCAUUUGGCCCAUUGGACACUCUAGUGGUGGCAAAAACAGACAUUGCUUGAAAAAAACUUGAGGAAAGGUCACUGGAUCCAGAUGUUAACUCUGCUUUCUCUCUAUAGGUGAUGUCAUCCCUGCUGAGUUUCUCCAGCAACUUCUGUCUUAAUUUCUGAUUUCCAACAUCCACAGUUUAUAUGUAUGAAACGGGCUUGAUCAUAGCUGACGUUUCAGCUCAGUUCCUUUGGUGUGCAAAGAUCGAGCAAUCUCAGCUUUCAAUAUAUUCAACAAGUGACAUUGAAACCUCCAGGCUGCAGAAUUCCAAAGAUCCAAAAUCCUCCCUGUCUCCUCAGCUCAAUCCUUAAUGGUCAGCCUGACUCUCCAUCCUGUUAAUUUCACUGCCUCUCAGGACCAACCUUUCUCAGCCCCUUCAGGGUCUUCUAUGUUUCAAUUAGAUCACCUCCUGUUGUUCAAGACUUCCUGGAGAACACUGACCCAAUGUAUUCAGCCUCUGGGCAAAUCAUUUGUUUGAAACUUUGUCGAAUCACCUCAAAGGCAAACAUGAGACCAAGGGGAACCAAACUGUCCACAUCAUUCUGAGUGUGAUUUUCAUGCAGCCCUGCAAGAUGUCUCUACUCCAACCCUGCCUGCAAUAAAGGCUCAUCUACCAGCAGCCUUCCUGUUGCUUGCUGUACCCAUCUGCUAACUUUCAUGGUGUGAUCAAAGAUAAAAGGGACCUAAGGGGCUUUUUCAUGCAGACGGUGGUGCGUGUAUGGAA